rnacentral:rRNA from 1 species
AUUGAACGCUGGCGGCAGGCCUAACACCUGCAAGUCGAACGAGUGGCGGACGGGUGAGUAAUGUUUGGGAAACUUCCCGAUGGAGGGGGAUAACUACUGGAAAAGGUAGCUAAUACCCCAUACUCUCGGAUGUGCCCAGAUGGGAUUAGCUAGUAGGUGGGGUAAUGGCUCACCUAGGGGAGGAUCCCUAGCUGGUCUGAGAGGAUAACCGGCCACACUGGAACGAAGACACGGUCCAGACUCCUACGGGAGGCAGCAGUGGGAAAUAUUGGACAAUGGGCGCAGGCCUGAUGCAGCCAUGCGGCGUGUAUGAAGAAGGCCUUCGGGUUGUAAGGUACUUUCAGCGAGGAGGCGUUACUCGCAGAAGAAGCACCGGCUAACUCCGUGCCAGCAGCCGCGGUAAUAC